rnacentral:rRNA from 1 species
GACGAACGCUGGCGGCGUGCUUAACACAUGCAAGUCGAACGGAAAGGCCUGCUUUCCCUUGUGGAUUGCGGGUACUCGAGUGGCGAACGGGUGAGUAACACGUGAGUGAUCUGCCCCCAACUUGGGUAUAAGCCUGGGAAACUGGGUCUAAUUCCCGAUAGGACUGCAGGGUGGUGCCUGUGGUGGAAAACGAUUUUCUAGUGGUUGGGGAUGAGCUCGCGGCCUAUCAGCUUGUUGGUGGGGUAAUGGCCUACCAAGGCGGCGACGGGUAGCCGGCCUGAGAGGGUGGACGGCCAGAUUGGGACUGGGAUACGGCCCCGACGCCUACGGGAGGCAGCAGUGGGGAAUAUUGCACAAUGGGCGGAAGCCUGAUGCAGCGACGCCGCGUGGGGGAUGACGGCCUUCGGGUUGUAAACUCCUUUCGACCGCGAGGAAGCCACCUGGUUGGAAGGGUGGUGACGGUAGUGGUAGAAGAAGCACCGGCUAACUACGUG